rnacentral:rRNA from 1 species
UACGUAGGGUGCGAGCGUUGUCCGGAAUUAUUGGGCGUAAAGAGCUCGUAGGCGGUUUGUCGCGUCGGCCGUGAAAACUUGGGGCUUAACCCCGAGCCUGCGGUCGAUACGGGCAGACUUGAGUUCGGCAGGGGAGACUGGAAUUCCUGGUGUAGCGGUGAAAUGCGCAGAUAUCGGGAAGAGCACCGGUGGCGAAGGCGGCUCUCUGGGCCUGUCCUGACGCUCAGGCGCGAAAGCUAGGGGAGCGAACAGG